GCCAGGCUGGGGCCAGGGCAAGACCGGUGCUGUGGCGGCCCAGGGGAUGGGGCCCCUCCAGGGCAAAAGGACUCCCCCGGUCCGGAGUCCCCUCCCCCAUCAGCCCCUUCCAGGGGGCCAUUCAUGUCUGCGCCAUGGGGAGGGCAAGGGGGAAACAGAGCAGGCAAAGAGGCCACCACGAGAGCGCACGAGGGGGCCGGGCGGCCUGGCUGGGGGAGUGAGGUGGGAGACGCAAGCCUCUGAGAACUGAGAAGUUCGAUCCCAGGCAGUACCUGGACAGGGAGACCAAGAAGAAGGGCGAGCUGUUAACUUUACAAUCCUGUCGGCUUCAUUCAGACCCUGCUCUGUCGGCCCCCAGGCCCCUAGGCCCCAGGCUUGGGAGCCCGGGUAAAUUCUGUUUCCUAUUCCCAUAGGCGUCUGCAGAUGGGAAGGGGCCUCUCUCCAGCCUUCCCCCACUUCCCCCGCCAGCGUGGCCUGGGAAAGUAAGAGCCUGAGUAUUCGACGAGAACUAUGACCGUGAACCAAAGCCUGGACACUUCCCAUCCUCAAAUUCCCUUCAGGCCCCCACUCCGCGCCGGACUCCCAAGGCCUCAGAGCAGGGGGUAUGCCUGUCGUCUCCUAUAUUUAGGCCUCCAGGCUAAUUUUAUCCGGGGGCGGUGCCACCCCCGCUGCACAUGCGCACAGACAUGCGCGGACCCACCACGCGAUUCCGCCGCCGCCGCGGUCGCCAGGGAAACCGACGUCAGCAGCUGAGCUCAGCGGUUGCUGGAGGGACCACGGGAGGGCGGGAGGGGCGACCCCUCCCCCAUUUCCCGGCGGAGCCAGGGAUCGACCCACUCCCACGCUGGCGGGCGCGGCCCGGGGUCGCCCACCUCUAGUACACCCCCAGGCCCUGCAGGGCUCGGUGGCCGUAAGAAGAAGGGCUGCCCAUGGGGUUUCCAGAGGCUGGCCUUGCUCCCCAGGGCAAAACACAACCGCCACCGCCCUCCGCGCAAAAGCUCCCCAGCCUGGCCUUCGCCUGGAUCUCGGUCAUUGUGGUCAAGACGACCCAGCCUGUCCUCCUCCGGCCCCCGCACCCUCUCCCGACCCACAGGACUGAAGCCGGCACCUGCCAUUGUCAGGGACUCAGGAAUCCUCUCUCUUCGGUCCUCUACUUUUCUAGAUUACCACCCCCCCCCACACACACACACUCCGCCCCCAUCCGAAGCAGACACACUCAGCCCUGAGCAAGGGACGCACAAACGCCAGCGGAUAGUUCUUCCCCUACUCCUCGUCCAACCACACCCCCAACCCCCGAGCAUUUUCUGAGCGCCAGGAGAAAAAGGAAGGCUGUGGCCAACAGCAGGAACUAGCGCCGGGAACGGGAUGUUCCAGCCCGAACCAGGCUUACAUCACGGCCGGCGCGGGUCCAGGGCCUGGAGGGGGGAGCGCGGGCAGCGCGGAAAGCCUGAAGGGGUCCCGGUGCCGGGGCAAAACCGAAGACCCCCGAGUGACAAGAGAGGCGGCGGCGGAAGGCCUGCCGAGGGUCGGACGUGGGGCCGGGGUAGCUGGAAGGAGAGGUCAAGGCUGGAGGUAGGGUAAGAGGAUCAGGAGCGCGGACAGCCGGCACAGGGUUGCGAGGAACACCCAUGUUACACCCGAAGGCAGAGAGGGGGUGGACAACGGCAAGGAGGGCGGACUGCGGGUGAGCCGUCCGAGCGCCCGGGCCGAAAGCGGCGCAUCAGGCUGGAAGUGGCGGCGGUCCGACUUGGGGCGGGAGACCGGUCCCCGGAUGGCUCUGGAGAUGCCUACCUGGCCGCGCGAGCGCCCUCCGGCCGCCUGCCCGCCGCCGUUGCAGCCCUCAGCCGAGUGGAAGCUUCGCGGGGCCAGGAGGCGGGUUGCAUAAUGCCAGGCUCUGCCCCUCAUUGGCCUCCUGCCGGCUGAGCCGCAGGCCCCGCCCCCGAUUGGCUGGGGAUCUCGUCCCGGCGCCUGAUUGGUUACUGGCCCCUACUGAGGUCAGGGCUGUGUCACACACACGGGCGCACGUGGACCUGGGUGCUGGCGCUGGGCUGAAGGGCCCCAGACACCACCACCCAGCCAAUGGGCGCAGGACGCCUUGCACAAUGAAUAAUGGAAGGGUGGGGAGGGGACGUAAGCUCCCCUCUUCAGGGAAAAUGCCUGGGCCGCGGUAGGUGCUUAAAGAUGUCUGCUUCCUGAACGGUCCAACCCGGCACAGCAGGACACCUUGGCCUUGCCAGAGGAUGCAGCCACCCACAGUUAGGGCUGCCCCAAAAGUGGGGGCCAGGAAGCCAGGACUAUAGGGAACAAAGCCGGUGGCUAAGAGAUCAAGGGGGACCCUACAGAGACACAGGUGAAGUGGCAAGGGCUUCAGAUCCCCACCACUAGGACAAGAGAAAGCCAAAGACCUCGUCUGCCACCUCUCUGUAUUCCCCAGAACCCCAGGACUGGACCUGACACAUGGUAGAUGAUCAAUAAACAUGGUGAUUUUGUU